rnacentral:rRNA from 1 species
UACGUAGGGGGGCUAGCGUUGUCCGGAAUCGAUUGGGCGGUAAAGAGCGUGUAGGCGGUCCGGUAAGUCCGCUGUGGAAAGUCGGGGGGCUCAACCCUCGAAUGCCGGUGGAUUACUAGUCGGGCUAGGAGUGCGGAAGAGGCGGAGUGGAAUUCCGUGGUUGUAGCGGUGAAAUGCGUAGAUAUCGAGAGGAACACCUGCGGCGAAGGCGGGUUGCUGGGCUGAUACUGACGCUGAGGCGCGAAAGCUAGGGGAGCGAACGGG